rnacentral:rRNA from 1 species
UGGCUCAGAGUGAACGCUGGCGGCAGGCCUAAUACAUGCAAGUCGAACGGCAGCACAGCAGAGCUUGCUCUGUGGGUGGCGAGUGGCGGACGGGUGAGGAAUACGUGGGAAUCUGCCCAGUCGUGGGGAUAACGUAGGGAAACUUACGCUAAUACCGCAUGCGCCCUUCGGGGGAAAGCCGGGGACCUUCGGGCCUGGCGCGAUUGGAUGAGCCCACGUCGGAUUAGCUAGUUGGCGGGGUAAAGGCCCACCAAGGCGACGAUCCGUAGCUGGUCUGAGAGGAUGAUCAGCCACACUGGAACUGAGACACGGUCCAGACUCCUACGGGAGGCAGCAGUAGGGAAUAUUGGACAAUGGGCGCAAGCCUGAUCCAGCCAUGCCGCGUGAGUGAAGAAGGCCCUCGGGUUGUAAAGCUCUUUUGUCCGGAAAGAAAAGCGCCGGGUUAAUACCCUGGUGUCCUGACGGUACCGGAAGAAUAAGCACCGGCUAACUUCGUG